rnacentral:rRNA from 1 species
GAUGAACGCUGGCGGCGUGCCUAAUACAUGCAAGUCGAGCGAACGGACGAGAAGCUUGCUCCUCUGAUGUUAGCGGCGGACGGGCGAGUAACACGUGCAUAACCUACUUAUAAGACUGGGAUAAUUUCGGGAAACCGGAGCUAAUACCGGAUAAUAUUUUGAACCGCAUGGUUCAAAAGUGAAAGACGGUCUUGCUGUCACUAUUAGAUGGUUCCGCGCUGCAUUAGCUAGUUGGUAAGGUAACGGCUUACCAAGGCAACGAUGCAUAGCCGACCUGAGAGGAUGAUCGGCCACACUGGAACUGAGACACGGUCCAGACUCCUACGGGAGGCAGCAGUAGGGAAUCUUCCGCAAUGGGCGAAAGCCUGACGGAGCAACGCCGCGUGAGUGAUGAAGGUCUUCGGAUCGUAAAACUCUGUUAUUAGGGAAGAACAUAUGUGUAAGUAACUGUGCACAUCUUGACGGUACCUAAUCAGAAAGCCACGGCUAACUACGUG